rnacentral:rRNA from 1 species
GACGAACGCUGGCGGCGUGCUUAACACAUGCAAGUCGAACGGUGACGGAGAGCUUGCUCUCCUGAUCAGUGGCGAACGGGUGAGUAACACGUGGGCAACCUGCCCCAGACUUCGGGAUAACGCUUCGAAAGAGGUGCUAAUACCGGAUACGAACUCCUUGGGCAUCCUUGGAGUUGGAAAGUUUUUCGGUCUGGGAUGGGCCCGCGGCCUAUCAGCUUGUUGGUGAGGUAACGGCUCACCAAGGCGACGACGGGUAGCCGGCCUGAGAGGGCGACCGGCCACACUGGGACUGAGAACCGGCCCAGACUCCUACGGGAGGCAGCAGUGGGGAAUAUUGCGCAAUGGGCGAAAGCCUGACGCAGCAACGCCGCGUGAGGGAUGACGGCCUUCGGGUUGUAAACCUCUUUCAGCAGGGAAGAAGCGAAAGUGACGGUACCUGCAGAAGAAGCACCGGCUAACUACGUGCCAGCAGCCGCAGUAAUAC